AAACCGGCACCUCAAGUGGUCAGGAGGUUUAUUGGGCCUAAAGCAUCCGUAGCCUGAUCUAUAAGUUUCCGGUUAAAUCCACAUGCUCAACAUUUGGGCUGCCGGAAAAACUGUAGAUCUAGGGAGUGGGAGAGGUAGACGGUACUCGGUAGGAAGGGGUAAAAUCCUUUGAUCUAUUGAUGACCACCAGUGGCGAAGGCGGUCUACCAGAACACGUUCGACGGUGAGGGAUGAAAGCUGGGGGAGCAAACCGGAUUAGAAACCCCGGUAGUCC
rnacentral:rRNA from 1 species